rfam:Stegodyphus mimosarum contig126405, whole genome shotgun sequence.
GCCUUCGUGGUGUAAUGGUCAGCGUAUUCGGCGGGUAUUCGAGAGGUCCGAGGUUCGAGUCCCCGCGACGGCA